rnacentral:rRNA from 1 species
CAGUCGCCACGGUAAUACGAAGGGGGCUAGCGUUGUUCGGAAUCACUGGGCGUAAAGGGUGCGUAGGCGGGAUCUUAAGUCAGGGGUGAAAUCCCGAGGCUCAACCUCGGAACUGCCUUUGAUACUGGGGUCCUUGAGUCCGGAAGAGGUGAGUGGAACUGCGAGUGUAGAGGUGAAAUUCGUAGAUAUUCGCAAGAACACCGGUGGCGAAGGCGGCUCACUGGUCCGGAACUGACGCUGAGGCACGACAGCGUGGGGAGCAAACAGGAUUAGAUACCCGCGUAGUCCCUGUCUCUUAUAC